GUCGUCUGCAAAUUGGUCCUCAGUGGUCUGACCAGCAUCACCUUGGUUGUUUUAGGUGCAGUUAAUCUUCAGUUCCGGGGUGCACUUGUUCCCCUUUCUUUGCAGCCAAUUCUCGGAACUGUGGCAGCUGAAGUACAGUCUGGCCAUCAUGCAGUUCACUUCUCCACCUGGUGUUCUAGUAUCUACAAGACGGCUCACAGGAUAUGGCUCAGAAUAUCAUCCGCAGCCCUUGAGAAGGAACGAAAGUUUCCACAGACCAAAGGCAUGCAGAGGAUAUGGUCAGGGAGCAAUGACCACAGGGUCCUGCUCCAUUUCUGAGGAAUCAGCUUCUUCCAAACUCCUAGUAACCUUGAUAUUUUGACCUCUUGCCAUGAAUCACCGAUGUUCAUGGCUUCCAAGAUGGUGAAUCCUUUCUGGGCGAUUGACCUUGCUCAGAUCCAUCAGAGGAAGCACUUUCUGUGGCAUCUACUCCUUAAAUCAUAAGACUGGAAAGUUGCAAUUACCCCUUGAUCCGUGGGCUGCCGAGUGGAUGUCCUGUUAACAAGCAUGAAAACAACAUGAGCCUCCUUGCACAGCACCAUCAGAACUCUCCGACGACCAUGUGCGUUCUCAGUGAGCAGUAACAUUUUGAAUAAAAAGCUUUUUUUUUUUUUUUUCUGAAACCACGUUGUAAACAAGAUGUGAUAUCACCCAGGUUUUGUGGUUCCAUUUAUAGAGCACAGGCAGGGUAGAUGUCAGGUAAUUCUUCUUUCAAUUUUUCAAAAUCACGUGUUUUAUUUUCUGCAGUGCUGGGUCUUCGUCGCUGCUCAGGCUUUUCUCUAGCUGGGUGCGAAGCCUUCUCACCGCAGUGUCUUCUCUUGCUGCGGAGCAGGGGCUCCGGGGUGUGGGGGCAUCCGUGGUUGCUGCCCCCUUGCUCUGGAACACAGGCCCCGCAGUAACACAGGCCCCGCAGUCAUGAUGCGGGGGCUUAGUUGCUCCGAGGCGUGUGGGAUCCUCCAAGACCAGAGACCAAACCCAUGUCCCCUGGAUUGGCAGGCGGAUUCUUUACCUCUGGGCCAGGGAAGCGCUGACUGAGCAUAAAGGUCCUAGGAUCUGGGGAAUGGUGAGGGAGCACUGGCUUCAACCUCAAGUCGUUAGCUGCCUUAGCCCCUAGCAAGAGAAUCAGCCUGCCCUUUGAAGUUUUGAAGCCGGGCAUUGACUUCUCUCCAUCUGUGAGAGUUCCACAUGGCAUCUUCUUCCAGUAAAAGGCUGUGUUGUCCAUAUGGAAAAUCUGUUCAGCGUAGCCACCUUCAUGAGUUAUCUUAGCUAAAUCUUCUGGAUUAACUGGUGCAGCGUCUACGUUAGCACUCGCUGCUUCACCUUGCACUUCUACGUUAGGGAGGUGGUUUCUUUACCUAAAAAAUCAUGACCCAAUCUCUGCCAGCUUCAGACUUUUUUUCUGCAGCUGCCUCACCUCUCUCAAUUCUUCAUAGAAUUGAAGGGAGUAUGUUGUGGCUGGUUUGACUUUCCACCCAGAGAUUAACAUUCUCUCCGUAUCAGCAAUAAGGUUAUCUCACUUUCUUAUCAUUCAUGUGUUCACUGGAGCAGCACUUUUAAUUUCCUUCAAGAACUUUUCCUUUGCAGUCAUGACUUAGCUGACAGUUUGGCGCAAGAAGCCUAGCUUUUAGCCUAACUUGGCUUUCAACACGCCUUCCUCGCUAAGCUUAAUUAUUUCUAGCUUUUGAUUUAAAGCGAGAGACAUGCAACUCUUCCUUUUAUUCAAACACUUGGAGGCCACAGUAGAGUUACUAACUGAUGUAAUUUCAAUAUUGCUGUGUCUCAGGGAACAGGGGGCCCCUAGGUGAGAGCAGGGGGAGCAGCUAGUGGGUGGAGCAGGCAGAACACACAUGACGUUCACUGUUUCAGUGCCUUCUUACAUGGGCACGGUUCACGGCACUCCGAAACAAUCACAGUAACGACAUAAAAGGCCACUGACCACAGAUCACUUUAACACACAAUGAGAACAAGAAAGCUUGAAAUAUUGUGCAAAUUACUGAAACGUGACAGAAAUAUGAGCUGAGCGAAUGUUGCAAAACUGGCUCCGACAGACGUGCGAGGCGGGUCACCACAAACCCUCAGUCUGUAAAAAGUGCAGUAUCUGUAAAGCACAACAAAAUGCAUUAAAAUGAGGUCUGCCCAUAAUAAUAUACAAGGUCUGAUAAUAUACAAGAAAGAUUCAGCUGACAGUUCUUUUAUCUCAAUGUUUUGAUUUCAAG
ensembl:lncRNA